CCUGUGGCUGGGGGUGAAAGGCCAAUCAAACCGGGAGAUAGCUGGUUCUCCCCGAAAGCUAUUUAGGUAGCGCCUCGUGAAUUCAUCUCCGGGGGUAGAGCACUGUUUCGGCUAGGGGGCCAUCCCGGCUUACCAACCCGAUGCAAACUGCGAAUACCGGAGAAUGUUAUCACGGGAGACACACGGCGGGUGCUAACGUCCGUCGUGAAGAGGGAAACAACCCAGACCGCCAGCUAAGGUCCCAAAGUCAUGGUUAAGUGGGAAACGAUGUGGGAAGGCCCAGACAGCCAGGAUGUUGGCUUAGAAGCAGCCAUCAUUUAAAGAAAGCGUAAUAGCUCACUGGUCGAGUCGGCCUGCGCGGAAGAUGUAACGGGGCUAAACCAUGCACCGAAGCUGCGGCAGCGACACUCAGGUGUUGUUGGGUAGGGGAGCGUUCUGUAAGCCUGCGAAGGUGGCCUGUGAGGGUUGCUGGAGGUAUCAGAAGUGCGAAUGCUGACAUAAGUAACGAUAAAGCGGGUGAAAAGCCCGCUCGCCGGAAGACCAAGGGUUCCUGUCCAACGUUAAUCGGGGCAGGGUGAGUCGACCCCUAAGGCGAGGCCGAAAGGCGUAGUCGAUGGGAAACGGGUUAAUAUUCCCGUACUUGGUGUUACUGCGAAGGGGGGACGGAGAAGGCUAUGUUGGCCGGGCGACGGUU
rnacentral:rRNA from 1 species